rnacentral:misc_RNA from 1 species
GAUGAAGAACGUAGCGAAAUGCGAUAAGUAAUGUGAAUUGCAGAAUUCAGAGAAUCAUCGAAUCUUUGAACGCACAUUGCGCCCAUUAGCAUUCUAGUGGGCAUGCCUGUUCGAGCGUCAUUUCAACCCUUAAGCCCUGUUGCUUAGCGUUGGGAGCCUACAGUACUGUAGCUCCCCAAAGUUAGUGGCGGAGUCGGUUUCACACUCUAGACGUAGUAAUUUUUUCUCGUCUGUAGUUGAGCCGGUCCCCUGCCGUAAAACACCCAAUUUAUCAAGGUUGACCUCGGAUCAGGUAGGAAUACCCGCUGAACUUAAGCAUAUCAAUAAUCGGAGGA